GACGAACGCUGGCGGCGUGCCUAAUACAUGCAAGUCGAGCGAAGUUUUUCUGGUGCUUGCACUAGAAAAACUUAGCGGCGAACGGGUGAGUAACACGUAAAGAACCUGCCUCAUAGACUGGGACAACUAUUGGAAACGAUAGCUAAUACCGGAUAACAGUAUUUCUCGCAUGAGAGAUAUUUAAAAGUUGGUUAUGCUAACACUAUGAGAUGGCUUUGCGGUGCAAUAGCUAGUUGGUGGGGUAAAGGCCCACCAAGGCGACGAUGCAUAGCCGACCUGAGAGGGUAAUCGGCCACACUGGGACUGAGACACGGCCCAGACUCCUACGGGAGGCAGCAGUAGGGAAUCUUCCGCAAUGGGCGAAAGCCUGACGGAGCAACGCCGCGUGAGUGAAGAAGGAUUUCGGUUCGUAAAGCUCUGUUGUUAGGGAAGAAUGGAUAUGUAGUAACUAUACAUGUAAGAGACGGUACCUAACCAGAAAGCCACGGCUAACUACGUG
rnacentral:rRNA from 1 species